CGAAUGCUGACAUAAGUAACGAUAAAGCGGGUGAAAAGCCCGCUCGCCGGAAGACCAAGGGUUCCUGUCCAACGUUAAUCGGGGCAGGGUGAGUCGACCCCUAAGGCGAGGCCGAAAGGCGUAGUCGAUGGGAAACAGGUUAAUAUUCCUGUACUUGGUGUUACUGCGAAGGGGGGACGGAGAAGGCUAUGUUGGCCGGGCGACGGUUGUCCCGGUUUAAGCGUGUAGGCUGGUUUUCCAGGCAAAUCCGGAAAAUCAAGGCUGAGGCGUGAUGACGAGGCACUA
rnacentral:rRNA from 1 species